rnacentral:rRNA from 1 species
UUUGUAAUAGUAUCAAAAAUUAGAUCAUAGAGCAGAGUACUGUAGGGGAAUAGAAAGAUAAGUGUAAAAGUUGUGCUUAAUGUGUGUACCUUUUGUAUCAUGGUUUAGCAAGAGUCAAGUAAUAGAUAUAUUAUUUCUCGAAUCCUGGAGAGCUACUUACCACCGCAAUAUUAGUUGUACGGAGCUAGAUGUUGCAAAAUCUUGAUUAGAGCGGUAAGUUGUAAUGACAUUUUUCGGUCUAGGGGAUAGCUAGUUUUUUCAGAAAGACAUAUAAGUGUUAGUGUUCGGUGUUAUGUAUAAGGCCAUAAAGGGCUAUGUAUUAGACGAAUAACCUGGGUAGUUAAGGCUAAGCUUAAUUACUCUCAUUCUAUAAACUUAAUGAAGAUAACUCUAGGCUUAAGAUUAGCCAAGGAAGUAACUUGUUAUAAAUAAUUAUAAGAUGUUGUAAGAUAAUUGUUUUGGUUCUCAGUAAUGAAAAUAUGGAGAAGAAUUGUAAUUCUUCAGAAAUAAUGCUAAAAUGAGUAUUUAUAUUAGUAAGCAGUGAAGCUGGGAGUGAAAGUAUUGUCUUAGCUUAAAACUUAUUAACAAAAGUAAAACUAUUAAGAGGAACUCGGCAAAAAUAUCCUCGCCUGUUUAACAAAAACAUGGCUCUCUGUUUUCAUAGCAUGGGGAGUCGAACCUGCCCAAUGAGUUUUAAUUUAAUGGCCGCGGUACUCUGACCGUGCAAAGGUAGCAUAAUAAUUUGUUUAUUAAUUGUAGACUGGAAUGAAUGGUCUGACGAAGGAUAGGCUGUCUUUUAUUAGUUUUUUAGAAUUUAAUUUCUAAGUUAAAAAGCUUAGAUUCAAUUAGUAGACGAGAAGACCCUGACGAGCUUUAGCUUUAAACAGGGCAAUCUUGUUUAAUGCAUUGGUUGGGGCGACUAAGGAACAGGCGAAGCUUCCUUUAUCAAAUACUAAGAUCCGAUAGAUGUCGAUAUAAGGGAAUAGCUACCGCAGGGAUAACAGCAUAAUUCUUUUAGAGAGCUCCUAUCGAAAAAAGAGUUUGUGACCUCGAUGUUGGACUAGGGUGUCCCGGGGGUGCAGCAGCUCCCGAAGGUUGAUCUGUUCGAUCAUUAAAACCCU